AACGUAGGUGGCGAGCGUUAUCCGGAAUUACUGGGCGUAAAGCGUGUGCAGGCGGGCUAGCAAGUGGUGUAUGAAAGCUCCCGGCUCAACCGGGAAGGGUUAUGCCAGACUGCUAGUCUUGAGUGCGAGAGAGGAGCGUGGAAUUCCGGGUGUAGUGGUGAAAUGCGUAGAGAUCCGGAGGAACCCCAGAGGCGAAGGCGGCUUUCUGGUCUGCUCUUGACGCUGAGGCGCGAAAGCUAGGGUAGCAAACGGG
rnacentral:rRNA from 1 species